rnacentral:rRNA from 1 species
UGGCGGACGGGUGAGUAACGCGUGGAAAACCUGCCGUAUACUGGGGGAUAACACUUAGAAAUAGGUGCUAAUACCGCAUAAGCGCACAGCUUCGCAUGAAGUGGUGUGAAAAACUCCGGUGGUAUACGACGGUUCCGCGUCUGAUUAGCUUGUUGGUGGGGUAAUGGCUCACCAAGGCGACGAUCAGUAGCCGGCCUGAGAGGGUGAACGGCCACAUUGGGACUGAGACACGGCCCAAACUCCUACGGGAGGCAGCAG